CAUUUUGAAUUAUUUGUGCACUUUCUGAAUGGUUUCUAACUGGACAUGACAUUCCCUUGAAGAUGAACUGCUGUGGUUGUACACUGGAGUUUAUUUUUUUAUUUUUCACUCCACCUCAUGCCUACAGGCAGUAGAGACAAAAAGCGAGAGAAAACAAUCGAGCUGAGCAUUCCUAUGACAUGCUGUGGUCAUAUUGUCUUCAUUGAUCCAAAACAUCCUAACUGCUUGUGACUGGCUGGAUGCCAACAAAAACCAACUUGUUGGGACAGUCCUCCGGCCAAGAAUUCUGGAAAUGGACGAGGAUGAAGUUACAUACACAAUU